rnacentral:rRNA from 1 species
AGCGAACGCUGGCGGUAGGCCUAACACAUGCAAGUCGAACGGCAGCACAUUAAGAGCUUGCUCUUAUGGGUGGCGUGUGGUGGCCGGGUGAGGAAUACCUCGUAAUCUACUUUUUCGCGGGUUAUAACGUAGGGAAACUUACGCUAAUACCGCAUACGACCUACGGGUGAAUGCAGGCGAUCUUCGGACCUUGCGUGAUUGAAUGUGCCGAUGUCGUCUUAGCUAGUUGGCGGGGUAAAGGCCCACUCAGGCGACGAUCCGUAGCUGGUCUGAGAGGAUGAUCAGCCACACUGGAACUGAGACACGGACCAGACUCCUACGGGAGACAGCAGUGGGAAUUAUUGGACAAUGGGCGCAAGCCUGAUCCAGCCAUACCGCGUGGGUGAAGGAGGCCUUCGGGUUGUAAAGCCCUUUUGUUGGGAAAGAAGAGCAGCAGGUUAAGACCCCGCGGUUCUGACGGUACCCAAAGAAUAAGCACCGGCUAACUUCGUG